CUGAUUCCUCUCCUCCCCCUCUCUCUACGUAGUCUACACUCUCUUCUUCCCAACCCGCAUUCAAUUUCUUCAUAAAUUACUAACCCUAACCCCUUUCAAUAUGUGAUCUGGGUUUUAAAGUGCGAGAGUUGUACUUGAGUUUGAUAGCAGAUAGCGAUCUGCAAAGUUCAAACCCAUUUCCAAUUUCUGUGAAUGCUCUAGAGUCUGUCUCUCUCUCUCUUAUUCUCCGAAGGAAAAAGACAAUGGAGUCCACCGUCCUCCUACAUGUUGUCAUCGGAGGCCCUACAAAGACGCUUAUCACCGCUGCCGCCCAAAUCACCUUUAGCAAUUACUUUCGUUUCCAUAUGAGUACGUCUCCCGAUUCUCUCAUAAUUCGCUUCUUUUUCCCCAAUUCUUACAUUUUCCUAACACUAAAUUUCAUCCUAAUCUGAUCCAAUUUUGUAAGUCUGAGCAAUCAUGUUUCUGGACUGCUACAUGGUUCUAAUGAAGCAUGUCAUUUGAAAGAGAUUGUUUUAACCAAGGAACCCGAACCCACCAAUGCACAGGAGCGUACAAGAGCCUGCUCGUAUUCAAAAGGAUGACGGUAAUGUGAAUUCAAAUGGACGACUCCAGGGGAGCCUUGAAGUUUCUAGGGCCUAUGGAGAUUGCUAGUUCAAAAAGGUUCUAUUUUCUCUUCUUUAACGCUUUCCCCUCUGGUUAUUUGUUUCCUUUGUUUUGAAUGUAACAUAAAACUUUAUAGCUCUAUAUUGGAAGAGAUCAAAUCUGUUAAACUUGUGCUAUUAUUAGUAAAUAUAGCUCUAAGUUAUUAUAAAUUGGGAAUUUUAUUUUUAGAAAGAAAGCCUAUGUGAAUGAUUAUUUUGUAAUUACUAAAUAUGCUUUAGUUUAUUCAUCCACUUCUCUGGGGACAAAACCAUAUUACUUUACUCUGCAAAAGAUGGUUGAAUUGAAUGUUAAUGUACUAGAUGCUUUGAUUGUUUAUCUCUGUUUUCCCAUUGAAUGAAUUAACUGCUCAGUAACUUUAGCUGAAUGCAUCGGUCUGUGACAACCAUAAAUUAUCAACAACUACUAGAAUGUUAAGCAAUGUAAUAUAGUUGUUCAAUAUAUUUGCUAACUAUUAUAUGAUAAUAAACAUGAGGACUAUGUAUCCUUGUUAUCUUGAACGCCUACCAUGUCCUAAACUACCUUAAUGCGAAGAGUUCCAAAUAUGUAAAUACGCACUAUAUACACUGUAUGUAUACGACAUGCACAUGAUAUGCACACGACAUGCAUAUGAUAUGCACACUGUUGGGGCCCAA